CAUCAUUGGAUCCAAAGCAAUAAAUAUUUGGCUGGAUCAGAGGAGAAAAGCAAUUCUUCUGUGUUCUGGGACCUCCUCUAUUCCAUAGUUUUCAAAGAUAAUCGGCAGUGGCUCCAAGGUAGCUUUGUCUGGCCAGAUACUUCAGAGAGACCGUAUUAGAUUCGUUGAGCUCCAAAAACAAAGAAUUUUAAGAUUUCCUUUCUUGUUUUGAAUUCCAGAGACUAAGCCAGUACCUUUCAGUGAACUCAACAGAUUGAACAAGACAAGUGUAAGUGGUUUUCCAGAUCUACUUUUAUUUGCAUAGUUCUUCCCUGAACGCUUUCCAAACUUCACAUGUCUCAAAUCUAAAUUUGCUGAAUAAAUGUCAAGCAGCUAAAUCCGAGCAAUGCUGCUAAAGGACUUGACUCGCACCCUUCUGGUGACUGGUUAC
ensembl:lncRNA